GACGAACGCUGGCGGCGUGCUUAACACAUGCAAGUCGAACGGAAAGGCCCUGCCUUUGUGGGGUGCUCGAGUGGCGAACGGGUGAGUAACACGUGAGUAACCUGCCCUUGACUUUGGGAUAACUUCAGGAAACUGGGGCUAAUACCGGAUAGGAGCUCCUGCUGCAUGGUGGGCGGUGGAAAGUUUCGGCGGUUGGGGAUGGACUCGCGGCUUAUCAGCUUGUUGGUGGGGUAGUGGCUUACCAAGGCUUUGACGGGUAGCCGGCCUGAGAGGGUGACCGGCCACAUUGGGACUGAGAUACGGCCCAGACUCCUACGGGAGGCAGCAGUGGGGAAUAUUGCACAAUGGGCGGAAGCCUGAUGCAGCAACGCCGCGUGCGGGAUGACGGCCUUCGGGUUGUAAACCGCUUUCGCCUGUGACGAAGCGUGAGUGACGGUAAUGGGUAAAGAAGCACCGGCUAACUACGUG
rnacentral:rRNA from 1 species